AUCCGUAUCACCUGGGAGCUUGUUAGAAAAGCAGAAUCUCAGCCUCCACCCAGGAACUACUGAGAUUAGAUCUGCAUUUUAACAAGAUCCCUGGGGGUGGGGGC
rnacentral:miRNA from 1 species